rnacentral:rRNA from 1 species
GAUGAACGCUAGCGGCAGGCCUAAUACAUGCAAGUCGAACGGUGUCUUCGGACAUAGUGGCGCACGGGUGCGUAACACGUAUGCAACCUACCUUACAUUGGGGGAUAGCCUUUCGAAAGGGAGAUUAAUACCGCAUAAGACAGUAGCUGGGCAUCCAGCAGCUGUUAAAGAUUUAUCGAUGUAAGCUGGGCAUGCGUCCAAUUAGCUAGUUGGUGAGGUAACGGCCCACCAAGGCAAUGAUUGGUAGGGGAACUGAGAGGUCAAUCCCCCACACUGGCACUGGGAUACGGGCCAGACUCCUACGGGAGGCAGCAGUAGGGAAUAUUGGGCAAUGGACGCAAGUCUGACCCAGCCAUGCCGCAUGCAGGAUGAAGGCGUUAUGCGUUGUAAACUGCUUUUAUACAGGAAGAAACGACUCUUGCGAGAGGCAUUGACGGUACUGUAUGAAUAAGCACCGGCUAACUCCGUGCCAGCAGCCGCGGUAAUAC